GAUGAACGCUGGCGGCGUGCCUAAUACAUGCAAGUCGAGCGAACGGACGAGAAGCUUGCUUCUCUGAUGUUAGCGGCGGACGGGUGAGUAACACGUGGAUAACCUACCUAUAAGACUGGGAUAACUUCGGGAAACCGGAGCUAAUACCGGAUAAUAUUUUGAACCGCAUGGUUCAAAAGUGAAAGACGGUCUUGCUGUCACUUGUAGAUGGAUCCGCGCUGCAUUAGCUAGUUGGUAAGGUAACGGCUUACCAAGGCAACGAUGCAUAGCCGACCUGAGAGGGUGAUCGGCCGCACUGGAACUGAGACACGGUCCAGACUCCUACGGGAGGCAGCAGUAGGGAAUCCUCCGCAAUGGGCGAAAGCCUGACGGAGCAACGCCGCGUGAGUGAUGAAGGUCUUCGGAUCGUAAAACUCUGUUAUUAGGGAAGAACAUAUGUGUAAGUAACUGUGCACAUCUUGACGGUACCUAAUCAGAAAGCCACGGCUAACUACGUG
rnacentral:rRNA from 1 species